rnacentral:rRNA from 1 species
CCCUGCCCUUUGUACACACCGCCCGUCGCUACUACCGAUUGAAUGGCUUAGUGAGACCUCCGGAUUGGCAGCCUGUUUCCGGCAACGGCAAUGAGCUGCUGAGAAGUUGGUCAAACUUGGUCAUUUAGAGGAAGUAAAAGUCGUAACAAG